rnacentral:rRNA from 1 species
CUUCGGCCCGAGUUGUAAUUUGCAGAGGAUGUUUAUGGUGCGGUACCAACCGAGUUCCCUGGAACGGGACGCCACAGAGGGUGAGAGCCCCGUCUGGUUGGAUACUAAACCUGUGUUAAACUCCUUCAACGAGUCGAGUAGUUUGGGAAUGCUGCUCUAAACGGGAGGUAAAUCUCUUCUAAAGCUAAAUACUGGCCAGAGACCGAUAGCGCACAAGUAGAGUGAUCGAAAGAUGAAAAGCACCUUGAAAAGGGGGUUAAACAGUACGUGAAAUUGUUAAAAGGGAAGCGUUUAUGACCAGACUUGUGCUGUGUGGCUCAUCCGUGGUUUUCCGCGGUGCACUCCACGCAGCUCAGGCCAACAUCGGUUCUCGUUGGGGGAUAAGAAUAGUAGGAACGUG